rnacentral:rRNA from 1 species
UUCCGGUUGAUCCCGUCGGAGGCCAUUGCGGUCGGAGUCGGAUUUAGCCAUGCUAGUCGAGCGAGGUUAGNCCUCGCGGCGAACAGCUCACUAACACGUGGCCAAGCUACCCUGCAGAGGGGGACAGCGUCGGGAAACUGACGGGAAUCCCCCAUACCGGUCUCACGCUGGAAUGCCGAGACCGACAAACGCUCCGGCGCUGCAGGAUGCGGCUGCGGCCGAUUAGGUAGUCGGUGGGGUAACGGCCCACCGAGCCGAUGAUUGGUACGGGGUGUGAGAGCACGAGCCCGGAGACGGAAUCUGAGACAAGAUUCCGGGCCCUACGGGGCGCAUCAGGCUCGAAACCUUUACACUGCACGAACGUGCGAUAAGGGGACUCCGAGUGCGAGGGCAUACAGUCCUCGCUAUUGUGUACCGUAGGGUGGUACACGACCAAGAGCUGGGCAAGACCGGUGCCAGCCGCCGCGGUAAUACCGGCAGCUCGAGUGAUGGCCGAUUUUAUUGGGCCUAAAGCGUCCGUAGCUGGCCCUGCAAGUCCGUCGGGAAAUCCACUCGCCUAACGAGUGGGCGUCCGGCGGAAACUACAGGGCUUGGGACCGGAAGACUUGAGGGGUACGUCUGGGGUAGGAGUGAAAUCCUGUAAUCCUGGACGGACCGCCGAUAGCGAAAGCACCUCAAGACGACGGAUCCGACAGUGAGGGACGAAAGCUAGGGUCUCGAACCGGAUUAGAUACCUGGGUAGUCCUAGCUGUAAACGAUGUUC